UGGCCUUAUUACCGUCCUAUAAAAUUUUCCCUUGAGCUUCAGUGACCUACGACGGUCACACAACACGCCGGAUGCACUCUUACACUUCAUCCAUCCAGCUUGUAUUCUAUGGUUGAGAUCUCUAUCUAAUUCUCCGUUCUCUUGCAAGAUAGAUCCUAGGUAGCGAAAACGGUCGCUUUUUGUGAUCUUCGCUAGAUUGCUCCGGUCAUUAGUGUGGAUAAGUAUAUAAAUGGAUAGAGAUAGGAAAGCAAACACCAAAUGUACCUGGUUCACCCAUAUUGGCUACGUC
rnacentral:lncRNA from 1 species